rnacentral:lncRNA from 1 species
AUAGGAAUGAUAGAAUCGGGUUGAAGGAUUACAGUCUCCCUGGCUUCAGCCAUUCGCACUGCCCAGCCCAGAUGUGGUGGGGGUGGGGGCCAAAGACCCUUCGGUUCAGUGGGAAAACCAGCCAAGACUCUGCACUCUCCUCUACUCCCUUUAGAAACACGUUCAUCAACUCUUCCCUUCAUUCUUUGCAGGCCACAGCGCAUUGCUAACUGCUGUGAAACCAAGCAACAAGUCACUCCCCAGGAACAAAGGUGACGGCCACCAGGCCGCGGAGCCUUGACCUCAUCUCAUUUCCUACGUGCCGUCCACCCCAUAAUCACUGUGCCUCCAGGGAGCGUGCCCGCCAAGCAGCGCGUGCUGUCGGCCUCCUGUUUACAGAGCCUUUCUGGCGUCAGGUGUGAUGCAUUUUUCUCCUUCGUUCCCAAGUUCCUCUCUGUUCCCUUUCGAAUUGAAGAUGUAUGCUGGCUAUUCACGGGUUCAGAGGAAAGAAAACUAUCUUGGCCACAGAUGGUUGAACUGAAGCUCAUCAGACCUCAGGCUCAGAACCCCUGGCUUAGUGAGCCCUUCACAGACUCAACCAUCACCGAAGAGGAAGAACUCUCAGGAAUUCUCUGGUCCAGGCUUCUCCUGUGUGGGCUUCUAUGGAAGCUGAAAUCAUCUACAAUUACAGUCUUUAAAGGACACAGGAAAGAGCCAUGUCCAGAGUUAUCCAUGCGUUUGACACCCUCGUCCUCCUGGAUUUUCUGCUGAACUCUAACCCUCACCCAACAAAUAUAACUGGGACAAUUCUAGACCACUCAGAACUUUAGCCACAGAGGCCUCUGGGAUCAAAGCUGUGCGAAAAAGGCCACCAGGUAGGGGCUAAGCAGAAGGGACAUCACUGUGGCCAUGGGAAGCUGGGCAAGGUCCCAGGUGGCUUCAGUCUUCCUGGAGAGGUUGCUUCCAUCCUCACACCCUCUUCCAUCCCAUCGUGUCCCUGGACCACCAAAGACAAGUUUGCAGGCAGCAUUAAAAUAAAUUUAAACUACUCCUAUAGGGACUUCA